rnacentral:lncRNA from 10 species
UGUGCAGGGUUUUUGCCAACACUGACCAAUUCAACAACAGCUGGGUGUCCUACAAUUCAAUUCUGACACUGUCUACUUGGAGUUGGUAUCAGAUCCCACAAGUUAAGGGUUCGGUCCCAGAAGACUGCCCCCCACUUCAGAUGCCAGUUGUGAAUCUGGCCCUCCGUGUUUCUGCCCUACAGGCUGUAAAUCAGGGGAGCCCUGUCUCCAGUUCAAUAAUUUCCUAGAAUGGCUCACAGAACUCAGGGAAACACUUUACUUACAUUUAUGUGUUUGUUAUGAAGGAUACAGAUUAACAGCCAGCUGAAGAAGUAAUUAGAGUGGGGUUCAGAGGAUCUCACGCUCAGGAGCUUUGACCCUGAGGAGCUCAGUGCAGUGUUCUCCUAGCACACGGAUGUGUUCACCAACCUGGAAGCUCAUCAAGGGUUUUUUUUUAGUUUUGAGACAAGCUCUUGUUCUGUCAUCCCGACUAGAGCACAGUGGUGUGCCCAUAGCACACUGCAGGCUCAAACUCCUAGGCUCAAGCAAUCGUCUCACCUCAGCCUCCCAAGUAGCUGGGACUACAGACACAUGCCACCAUACCCAGCUAAUUUUUGUUUAUUUUUUGUAGAGACAGGGUCUCACUUUGUUUCCCAGACUGGUCUCAAACUCCUGGCUCAAGUGAUCCUCUUGCCUCGGCCUCCCAAAGUGCUGGAAUUACAUGCAUAAGUCACCGUUCCCAGCCUCAAGAGUUUUUAUACAGCUAGGACACAGACUUAUGGGAAAAUUAAUUUUAAAAGGAGAAGAAGAAAAUAGUUUUCAUACAACAUAAUCUGCAUUUCUAUUCAGGACAUUGAAAUUUCUAAGAAAAUGGCAAGUCCUAGUACUAACACUGA